rnacentral:RNase_P_RNA from 1 species
UGGGUCGGCCGGACGGUCGCGUAGCGGGAAACCGCGCCGAGGAACGUCCGGGCUCCACAGGGCAGGAUGGUGGGUAACACCCACCCGGAGUGAUCCGCGAGACAGUGCCACAGAGAGCAGACCGCCGAGACUUCGGUCUCGGUAAGGGUGAAAGGGUGGUGUAAGAGACCACCGGGGUCGUGGUGACACGACCCGCAAGGUAAACCUCGUCCGGAGCAAGGCCAGACAGGGGAUGACGACGCGGCCCGCCGAGUCCCCGGGUAGGCCGCUGGAGCGGCACGGCAACGUGUCGCCGAGAGAGAUGACCGUCGACGGGGCUCAGGCCCCCGAACAGAACCCGGCGUACAGGCCGGCCCAUUCG